rnacentral:rRNA from 1 species
UACGUAGGGGGCAAGCGUUGUCCGGAAUCAUUGGGCGUAAAGAGCGUGUAGGCGGCUCGGUAAGUCCGCUGUAAAAGUCCAGGGCUCAACCCUGGAAAGCCGGUGGAAACUGUCGAGCUAGAGUCCGGAAGAGGCGAGUGGAAUUCCUGGUGUAGCGGUGAAAUGCGCAGAUAUCAGGAGGAACACCAGUGGCGAAGGCGGCCGGCUGGGGGCGCCCUGACGCUGAGAAGCGAAAGCAUGGGGAGCGAACAGG